rnacentral:sRNA from 1 species
AUUGGGUGCAGUGGCGCACACCUGUAAUCCCAGCCACUCAGGAAGCUGAGGCAGGAGGAUCACAGAUUUAGAGCCAACCUCAGCAACUCAGUGAGGUCCUAAGCAACUUAGCAAGACCCUGUCUCUA